rnacentral:rRNA from 1 species
UACGGGGGGGGCAAGCGUUGUUCGGAAUUACUGGGCGUAAAGGGCUCGUAGGCGGCCAACUAAGUCAGACGUGAAAUCCCUCGGCUUAACCGGGGAACUGCAUCUGAUACUGCAUGGCUUGAGAUUGGGAGAGGGAUGCGGAAUUCCAGGUGUAGCGGUGAAAUGCGUAGAUAUCUGGAGGAACACCGGUGGCGAAGGCGGCAUCCUGGACCAAAACUGACGCUGAGGAGCGAAAGCCAGGGGAGCAAACGGG